GCCAGCAUAGUGUAAUGGUUUGAGAGUUGGACUAGGACUCUGGAGAUCAGGGUUCAAAUCCCUUCUUGGUA